CACGCGCCGCUAGUCGUACAUAAAAAUUCAUCGACGCGAGAAAAUACGGUGCUCGUUGUUGCUUAAUUGAAACGCACCGGCCGGCGGUCGGCUGGAACUUUUGCACUUCCCUUGUAAACUUUAAUUCAACGGUCUGUCGUUGCUACCUUUCCACGUUUUUCUCGAGCGUAGCGAGCAUAAAUUCGCGUUGUAGGUUUUACGGUGUUACGCACGGGAGCUUGGUAAUUUUUUGCUCGAAGAAGGGAUUGCGAUUGCGCGGCGAUACAGCGGAUAACUUUCGAGUGGAACGUGCGACCAAUGGGAAUUGCCCGUUUACCUUGUCUUUCAAUUAAUGAUAUGUAACGAUUUGAAUUACCGAUUCGACUGCGCCACUAAUCUGAACCGCUUGACUUUUGGACGCAUGCCGAUGAAUCACUGGCAACUGAAAUAGCUGCACUAGCAAUCUGAACUGCUUGACUUUUGAUGAUGAUACUGAAUCUGAAGCACCUGAACCACUCCAGCUGUGAUCUGGAUUAUAGCUUUAGCUACAGUUCUGCGAUCAAAAUAAUACUAUGGGCUGCGGCAUAACGAUCCGAAUUGCACUAUCAGUUAUGGGGGUAUAAUCUAAACAUCUCUACGGAUUAUGGCGACACAAUAUGAAUUGCAUCAUGAUUUCUUACAAAAUCAUCUGCAACACUGUCUAUACGAGUGUAUAAUGGGAAGGGUGAAUUAUAAUUCCUUCACGUUUGAAGAUGACCAGUAAAUUAGUCGAAGAUAUUUACAUUUAAAUGAAAGUCAGUGAAUAGUAAUGACUAAAUUUUUUUUUUAUGUCGGAAUACCUAUUCGUCAUUAAUCAAUUUACAUUAUAUUACAGUGUAAUCUGAAUUAUAUCACAGCCCCUCUCCUAUAAUCUACAUAACACUUUGUGGAUUGGCUCAGCCAUUUGAAUUAGUUUAUGAUCACUUACAAUCCCAUUUGGAUUGCAUUAUGGGCUAUAGAAUUGUAAACAGAUUUCAUAAUGAAUUUCGAGUAAGUGAUCUCCAUUAGAUCGUGGCCUGUAAUCUGGUUCAGGAAUAGUUCACUCUAUACAAUAUUCAAUAAUUUCAAUUACGUCGUAGUCCAGUGCAUCUGGUGAAUGCAUCUCUAGAGAAUGCGAUCUAAGUGUGUCUUAGAUUUUCUUAUAUAAAUAGAUAAAUAUAUAGCAAGUUAAAUUUAUCUUAUUUAAUGCAUGUUCAUAUUCGUAAAAAUUCAUUCAAGUAAAUUAUACAAAUCGUUUGUGUACUAAGAGUAUGUAUAUUAAGAAGUCCACAAUUGAGUAAAAAAAAAUUCAAAGAAAUUAACUCUGAAGGUGAGGUAUUAAUAAAAAUAAAUCUAGAUAGGAUUUGUAAAUUUCUAUGAGAUUUCAAAAAUAAUUACUGCGACGAAUGAUAGAGUGUGUGUAGUUUCUAAUUGUUCACAAAACGAAGUUUCAACCUUCUAGGAAUUUUCCGAAGUUAAUCUGUUACUUCAGCGAAAUUAAAUAUCUCGUAGAUUGGACGAUACCAUGGUGCCAUGAUUUAUCUGUACCGCACCGUUGAGACACCUUUACUCGGUACACUUAAAUUAAUCUUGAAUUUUGACCAGGUAGAGUUGUUCUGAAUAUCGAUAGGUGUAAUUGAUGUUCGAAUCGCGCGCGGUAUGGAUGCGAUCAUCGACAUAAAACAUUCAAUUUCUGGCCGGGAGCCGAGUCGACAUAUUAAUAUUAAAAGUGACGCGGUACGAAUUGAAAAUAUAUAUGGCGUCACGAGGGACGAGCAAUCACGUGCACGGGGUAAAAUUAUGUAUGUUAGGGGGAAUUUACGAUGGUGGCGCGAAUUUACGGUGAACGCCAGUGUCUAGCGUACGGCUUCAAUAUGGCCCCGGGACUGAAAGCAUCGGCAAAAUGGGGGACGUCCCGUAAAAUAUGGGGCACGGUUUGCAGGCUCGCUCGAGCCAGAGCCGGUAUUAAUCAUUCCCAUUAUAUAUAUUACGGGCACGUUAAUAUAACACGGUAUAUAACGUAUUAAGUUAAUUCGCCCAGGCGGUCUCGUCCUUCGCGCCGUACACUCGUCCGGAAUACGAAAUUAACGCACGCCUGAAUUAUUAUAAACUACGGCAUUUCCGGGGCGCAGUUCGCGCCAGUACACCGCGCGAAUAUAAUAUUUAGACGGAUAUAGGAUCCGUGUAGACGUAACGCGCAGUUACGUGGCCACUUCGCUUUGAUUUAUUAUUCAAGCGUUGUGCGCGAGAUUCAAACACACCAGGAGCAGUACUUUGUCGAACGCACAGACACUACACAAAAUUUCCAUAAGUGAUCUUUCUCGUAAAUACGGCAUUAACGCGCUGGAAAAUCCUCCAGGAUAUGGAGCCAACGCGAGAAGCAUGAUUUCCAUAAACAACUCGCGACGAUUAAACCGUUCCUAAGGGCACCCCGAUUUACCUACAGUCGUUUUCGUCGAUGCUUAUUCGAGGUAGAAGAUACAACGUUUGGACACAUUCUGCGCAUUUGGACGCGAUUGGGAAUAAUACUGAUAGCUACAGUCAAUAUUCCCUUUGAAUAAAUUAUUUUAUUUAAUUAUUCAAAUAUUUAAUCAAUAUAUUUAUGUGUUUUUCAUAAGAAACUUGUAAUACCUUCGUGAUAAAAAGUAAUAGUCUUGAACUAG